AUACAGGAAAAGCGAAAAAAUUAUGAUGAAGUGUAAAUUCAAAACUUUUAAUUUACCAAAAAACCCCAGACAUUUUCGUAACGAAGAUUGAUUACUUAUGCUGAAGAUAUGCAGAGGGAUGAAAUGUAACCUUUACUAGAUAAAGUUGGAGGAGUAAAGACAGGAGACAGAAAGUGACAUUAUUUCCCCUUAUAUUUUAAAUGGACAAAUAAGUGUUCUAAGAUAUAAAUGGAUCAGACAUCAUGAAGAACCUGAGGCACAUCCCAAUUUCUGAAGAAGGAAUCUCUACACCAGUGCUGUAGCUCAGAAGCUACUCCUCUAAGUGUGAAAGAAAACUCAAACACAAAUACAUUAGCAAGUAAACUUCUU